GACGAACGCUGGCGGCGUGCUUAACACAUGCAAGUCGAACGAAGUGGCGAACGGGUGAGUAACGCGUAAUCAACCUGCCCUUCAGAGGGGGACAACAGUUGGAAACGACUGCUAAUACAGCAUACUGAAGGAGGAGAUGUCGUCUGAUUGGCUAGUUGGGGGGGUAACGGCCCACCAAGGCGAAGAUCAGUAGCCGGUCUGGGAGGGUGAACGGCCACAUUGGGACUGGGACACGGCCCAGACUCCUACGGGAGGCAGCAGGGGGGAAUCUGCCGCAAUGGACGAAAGUCUGACGGAGCAACGCCGCGGGAGUGAUGACGGCCUUCGGGUUGGAAAGCUCUGUUAAUCGGGACGCGGUACCGGAAUAGAAAGCCACGGCUAACUACGUGCCAGCCGCCGCGGUAAUUC
rnacentral:rRNA from 1 species